rnacentral:tRNA from 1 species
CAAGGAAUAGUUUAUAAUAGAAUUCCAGCUUUGGGUGCUGGCGGUGGGGCUAGAGCUUCUUCCUUGA